rnacentral:rRNA from 1 species
GCAAGUCGAACGAGAACGGUACUAGCUUGCUAGUAUGUCAGCUAAGUGGCGGACGGGUGAGUAAUGUAUAGUUAAUCUGCCCUUUAGAGGGGGAUAACAGUUGGAAACGACUGCUAAUACCCCAUACUCCUUUCUACUUAAUGUAGAUUGGGAAACGUUUUUUCGCUAAAGGAUGAGACUAUAUGGUAUCAGGUAGUGGGUGGGGGAAGAGAGGACCAAGGCAAUGACGCCUAGCUGGUCUGAGAGGAUGAGC